rnacentral:rRNA from 1 species
GCUCAGAUUGAACGCUGGCGGCAGGCCUAACACAUGCAAGUCGAACGGUAACAGGAAGAAGCUUGCUUCUUUGCUGACGAGUGGCGGACGGGUGAGUAAUGUCUGGGAAACUGCCUGAUGGAGGGGGAUAACUACUGGAAACGGUAGCUAAUACCGCAUAACGUCGCAAGACCAAAGAGGGGGACCUUCGGGCCUCUUGCCAUCGGAUGUGCCCAGAUGGGAUUAGCUAGUAGGUGGGGUAACGGCUCACCUAGGCGACGAUCCCUAGCUGGUCUGAGAGGAUGACCAGCCACACUGGAACUGAGACACGGUCCAGACUCCUACGGGAGGCAGCAGUGGGGAAUAUUGCACAAUGGGCGCAAGCCUGAUGCAGCCAUGCCGCGUGUAUGAAGAAGGCCUUCGGGUUGUAAAGUACUUUCAGCGGGGAGGAAGGAGUAAAGUUAAUACCUUUGCUCAUUGACGUUACCCGCAGAAGAAGCACCGGCUAACUCCGUGCCAGCAGCCGCGGUAAUACGGAGGGUGCAAGCGUUAAUCGGAAUUACUGGGCGUAAAGCGCACGCAGGCGGUUUGUUAAGUCAGAUGUGAAAUCCCCGGGCUCAACCUGGGAACUGCAUCUGAUACUGGCAAGCUUGAGUCUCGUAGAGGGGGGUAGAAUUCCAGGUGUAGCGGUGAAAUGCGUAGAGAUCUGGAGGAAUACCGGUGGCGAAGGCGGCCCCCUGGACGAAGACUGACGCUCAGGUGCGAAAGCGUGGGGAGCAAACAGGAUUAGAUACCCUGGUAGUCCACGCCGUAAACGAUGUCGACUUGGAGGUUGUGCCCUUGAGGCGUGGCUUCCGGAGCUAACGCGUUAAGUCGACCACCUGGGGAGUACGGCCGCAAGGUUAAAACUCAAAUGAAUUGACGGGGGCCCGCACAAGCGGUGGAGCAUGUGGUUUAAUUCGAUGCAACGCGAAGAACCUUACCUGGUCUUGACAUCCACGGAAGUUUUCAGAGAUGAGAAUGUGCCUUCGGGAACCGUGAGACAGGUGCUGCAUGGCUGUCGUCAGCUCGUGUUGUGAAAUGUUGGGUUAAGUCCCGCAACGAGCGCAACCCUUAUCCUUUGUUGCCAGCGGUCCGGCCGGGAACUCAAAGGAGACUGCCAGUGAUAAACUGGAGGAAGGUGGGGAUGACGUCAAGUCAUCAUGGCCCUUACGACCAGGGCUACACACGUGCUACAAUGGCGCAUACAAAGAGAAGCGACCUCGCGAGAGCAAGCGGACCUCAUAAAGUGCGUCGUAGUCCGGAUUGGAGUCUGCAACUCGACUCCAUGAAGUCGGAAUCGCUAGUAAUCGUGGAUCAGAAUGCCACGGUGAAUACGUUCCCGGGCCUUGUACACACCGCCCGUCACGCCAUGGGAGUGGGUUGCAAAAGAAGUAGGUAGCUUAACCUUCGGGAGGGCGCUUACCACUUUGUGAUUCAUGACUGGGGUGAAGUCGUAACAAGGUAACCGUAGGGGAACCUGCGGUUG